rnacentral:misc_RNA from 1 species
GAUGAAGAACGUAGCGAAAUGCGAUAAGUAGUGUGAAUUGCAGAAUUCAGUGAAUCAUCGAAUCUUUGAACGCACAUUGCGCCCCUUGGUAUUCCAUGGGGCAUGCCUGUUCGAGCGUCAUUUACACCCUCAAGCUCUGCUUGGUGUUGGUCGUCUGUCCCGCUGCUUUGCGCGGACUCGCCUCAAAGGUAUUGGCAGCGAUCAUGCCAGCUUCUCGCGCAGCACAUUGCGCUUCUUGAAGUUCUGGUGGAUCAGCGUCCAUUAAGCUUACCUUCAUGACUUGACCUCGGAUCAGGUAGGGAUACCCGCUGAACUUAAGCAUAUCAAUAAGCGGAGGA